GACGAACGCUGGCGGCGUGCUUAACACAUGCAAGUCGAACGGAAAGGCCCUGCUUUUGUGGGGUGCUCGAGUGGCGAACGGGUGAGUAACACGUGAGUAACCUGCCCUUGACUUUGGGAUAACUUCAGGAAACUGGGGCUAAUACCGGAUAGGAGCUCCUGCUGCAUGGUGGGGGUUGGAAAGUUUCGGCGGUUGGGGAUGGACUCGCGGCUUAUCAGCUUGUUGGUGGGGUAGUGGCUUACCAAGGCUUUGACGGGUAGCCGGCCUGAGAGGGUGACCGGCCACAUCGGGACUGGGAUACGGCACAGACUCCUACGGGAGGCAGCAGUGGGGAAUGUUACACAAGGGGCGGAAGCCUGCUGCAGCAACGCCGCGUGGGGGAUGAGGGCCUUCGGGUUGUAAUCCACUUUCGCCUGUGACGAGGCGUGAGUGACGGUAAUGGGUAAAGAAGCACCGGCUAACUACGUG
rnacentral:rRNA from 1 species